UACGUAGGGUGCGAGCGUUGUCCGGAAUUAUUGGGCGUAAAGAGCUCGUAGGCGGUCUGUCGCGUCGAAUGUGAAAACCCGGGGCUCAACUCCGGGCUUGCAUUCGAUACGGGCAGGCUAGAGUUCGGUAGGGGAGUCUGGAAUUCCUGGUGUAGCGGUGAAAUGCGCAGAUAUCAGGAGGAACACCGAUGGCGAAGGCAGCUCGCUGGGACGGUACUGACGCUGAGGCGCGAAAGCCAGGGGAGCAAACGGGG
rnacentral:rRNA from 1 species